GAUGAAGAACGUAGCGAAAUGCGAUACGUAAUGUGAAUUGCAGAAUUCAGUGAAUCAUCGAGUCUUUGAACGCACAUUGCGCCCCCUGGUAUUCCGGGGGGCAUGCCUGUCCGAGCGUCAUUGCUACCCUCAAGCACGGCUUGUGUGUUGGGCCUCCGUCCUCCUCCCGGGGGACGGGCCCGAAAGGCAGCGGCGGCACCGCGUCCGGUCCUCGAGCGUAUGGGGCUUCGUCACCCGCUCUUGUAGGCCCGGCCGGCGCUUGCCGACACAUCAAUCUUUUUUCCAGGUUGACCUCGGAUCAGGUAGGGAUACCCGCUGAACUUAAGCAUAUCAAUAAGCGGAGGA
rnacentral:misc_RNA from 1 species